UCCGAAGGGAGCUAUCGUUGUUCGGAAUUACUGGGCGUAAAGCGCACGUAGGCGGGCAAUUAAGUCAGGGGUGAAAUCCUGAGGCUCAACCUCAGAAUUGCCUUUGAUACUGGUCGCCUUGAGGUCGGGAGAGGUUGGUGGAAUUCCUAGUGUAGAGGUGAAAUUCGUAGAUAUUAGGAAGAACACCCGUGGCGAAGGCGGCCAACUGGCCCGAAUCUGACGCUGAGGUGCGAAAGCGUGGGGAGAAAACAGG
rnacentral:rRNA from 1 species